rnacentral:tRNA from 1 species
GUGUGGUUCAGUAGCAGAGCAUCUGGUUGGCAUGCAGAAGGUCCUGGGUUCAAUCCCCAGCAUCUCCA